rnacentral:rRNA from 1 species
GACGAACGCGGCGGCGUGCUUAACACAUGCAAGUCGAACGGAGCGAAUGAAAGCUUGCUUUUAUAAGCUUAGUGGCAAACGGGUGAGUAACACGUAGACAACCUGCCGACAGGAUGGGGACAACAUUCCGAAAGGAAUGCUAAUACCGAAUGAAGUGCAGGGGAGGCAUCUCCCCUGCAUGAAAGAUGGCCUCUAUAUAUAUGCUAUCACCUGUUGAUGGGUCUGCGUCUGAUUAGCUGGUAGGUGAGGUAACGGCUCACCUAGGCGACGAUCAGUAGCCGGUCUGAGAGGAUGAACGGCCACAUUGGGACUGAGACACGGCCCAGACUCCUACGGGAGGCAGCAGUGGGGAAUCUUCCGCAAUGGGCGCAAGCCUGACGGAGCAACGCCGCGUGAGUGAAGAAGGUCUUCGGAUCGUAAAGCUCUGUGAUGGGGACGAACGUGCCUAAUGCGAAAUAGUUUAGGCCAAG